rnacentral:rRNA from 1 species
CUUCGGGUCGUAAACCACUUUUAUUAAUGUCGAGAGACAUUUUUGAAUAAGCACCCGCUAACCACGUGCCAGCAGCUGCGGUAAUACGUGGGGUGCAAGCGUUGCCCGGAUUUACUGGGCGUAAAGAGUAUCGUAGGCUGAUUAGCAAGUCUUAGCUUAAAUACCAAGGCUUAACUUUGGAAAAGAUUGAGAUACUGCUAGUCUAGAACUAGGUAAGGGGUGCUGGAAUUCCUGGUGGAGGGGUGAAAUCCGUUGAUAUCAGGAAGAACACCGAGGGCGAAGGCAAGCAUCUAGGCCUUAGUUGACGCUGAGGAACGAAAGCUAGGGGAGCGAAAGGGAUUAGAGACCCCUGUAGUCCUAGCUGUAAACUAUCCCUACUAGUUACUCCUUUUUUAGGAGUGACGUAAGCUAACGCGUUAAGUAGGGCGCCUGGGGAGUACGGCCGCAAGGCUAAAACUCAAAGGAAUNNGCACAACCAGUGGAGCAUGUGGUUCAAUUCGAUACGAAGCGUAGAACCUUACCUGGACUUGACAUGCUACUGCAUUCUUUGGGAAACCAGAGAAGCCUUAGAGGGUGUAGCACAGCUGCUGCAUGGCUGUCGUCAGCUCUAGUCGUGAGAUGUUCCCUUAAGUGGGGUAUAGAGCGCAACCCUUACUCUGUGUUGUAUAUCACAGAGAACUGCCUUUGCAUAGCAAAGGAGGAAGGAGAGGAUGACGUCAAGUCAGCACGGCGCUUACGUCCAGGGCGACACACAUCCUACAAUGGAUAUUACAACGGGUUGCUAAGUCGUAAGGCGGAGCUAAUCCCUUAAAAAUAUCCUCAGUUCAGAUUGUGGGCUGCAACUCGCCCACAUGAAGUUGGAAUUGGUAGUAAUCGCAGGUCAGCAGACUGCGGUGAAUACGUUCUCAGAUCUUGUACACACUGCCCGUCAAGUGAGGAAAGUUGGGGGUGCCCGAAGUCGUUUUCCUAACUUCGACAUUUUGUUAAAGAAGGAAACGCCUAAGGUAAACUCAGCGAUCAGCGCUAAGUCGUAACAAGGUAGCCGUUCUGGAAGGAGCGGCUG